CCCUUAGAUGUUCUGGGCCGCACGCGCGCUACACUGACGAUGGCAACGAGUUUUUCCUUCGCCGAAAGGUGUGGGUAAUCUUUUGAAACAUCGUCGUGCUGGGGAUAGAUCAUUGCAAUUUUUGAUCUUGAACGAGGAAUUCCUAGUAAGCGCGAGUCAUCAGCUCGCGUUGAUUACGUCCCUGCCCUUUGUACACACCGCCCGUCGCUACUACCGAUUGAAUGGUUUAGUGAGGACUCCUGAUUGGCGCCGCCGCCCCGGCAACGGAGCAGCGGACUGCCGAAAAGUUGUUCAAACUUGAUCAUUUAGAGGAAGUAAAAGUCGUAAC
rnacentral:rRNA from 1 species